GAGGUCACUGUGCCAUUUUGAGAAUUAAAUUUAUUUGGCUAAUAUUUUUCACAAUAUGGGAAGGAUAUUGCGAUUUUGUUGUCCUAUAGAUGGAUGAAGGUCCCAUGUAGAUUUUGAUUGUUGAGAUUUUAAUGGAUCUAUAGUUUUGAUUCCAGUUUUUUUGAUGAGAAGUGUCCAGCCCUUAUUUGAGAAGAAAUGUUAAAUAAUUAUUGAUUGUGUGCCUUCACUAUGAGGUUUUUCUACAGAUUUUUUUACGUAUUUUUCUCAACGUUUUUCUUUGGAUUUUUCUGCAAGUAUUUCGAGACGUUUUUCUACAGUUUUUCUGCACUUGUGUCUAGAAGUUUUUCACCAAGUUUUUCCACAAGUUUUCUUACGUGUUCAGUCACCGAAGUAAUCAGUAGCAGCCUCUUCGGUUAGAUUUCAGCCCUGCACCCCUCUAAGGAAGUGUUGGAUGCUGUGAUGUUUUUGUAUUAUUAAGAAGAUCCUUUUUUUAGUAUAAUUUGUUAUACAAGGCCAGUAUAUAUUUUUAUAGUAAACUAAACUUUAUUAAUUUGAUUUUAAAUAAUCAUUAGUGUGUUAAGAAAUUAACUGUUCUUAACAUUUUACAUUUAACCGGUUAAGUACUUGCCUUCAGCAUUACUUUAACCCUUAAUUUAUAAAAUUUAACAUUCUGUUACAUUUUAUAUAUUUUUUUAACACUUAAGUAUUUGCCUUCAGCAUUGCUUAAAUUUUACUUGUAUUUGAUUAUUAAAAUAAUCAUGUUAGAUUGAUUGAUUAUUCAGAUUCAACAUCUAUUUAUGUUAACCUUUUAUAUCAUUACGAUCUUUGACCUGGAAGGGCAAUCUUGGGUACAGAUUUUAAUCUUUUUCCCUUAACUAUAUAUAAACAAAAAGGUUCAUGAAUCUUCGUAAUAAGUCAAUUGAAAUUUAGAUAU